UAACUCGGGAAACCGGAGCUAAUACCGGAUAAUAUAUUGAACCGCAUGGUUCAAUAGUGAAAGACGGUUUUGCUGUCACUUAUAGAUGGAUCCGCGCCGCAUUAGCUAGUUGGUAAGGUAACGGCUUACCAAGGCAACGAUGCGUAGCCGACCUGAGAGGGUGAUCGGCCACACUGGAACUGAGACACGGUCCAGACUCCUACGGGAGGGCAGCAGGC
rnacentral:rRNA from 1 species